AUGCAUUACCCCAAAGUUAACAUGAAGCGGAAAAUAUGCUCAGAAGCGAUGAAGAUCGAGGUUGGAUACAUGCUUGUAGGUAUUUUACAUGGUUGAAAGUAUGGCUGAAACUCUGUAGCAGCAGCCAUGCACUGAUUCAAAAUUUAGGACUGAUCCAUGCAGCCUGCUAUAGCAAAAAAAACAUGCGCAAUAAUAAUUAAGAUGCCUUUUUGUCAAGUUGUGUUAUCACCGAACAAACACACUCUCUGGCCCAUCAAAAAUUAAGCUUUAGUCUAAAAGAAAUGGUCUCUUUACUAUGAAAUACAUCCCAAUAUCUCCAUGGAAGUCUAUGUAGGCCUAUUGUUGUGUUGGGAUCGGUGUGUUAUGUUAUUGGCGGUAGGAGAGGUACAUCAAUAAAUAUGAAGAAGUAAGGAUAGACUAUAUUAAGAGUAUUUAUUAUCUCCAAACUUUGGAGACUCGAAUCGGUCACCUCAUUAUGAACUUCCACAUUGUAAAAUACAAGAUGAAGAGAGAGCCAGCUAGAAAGAGGGUCUUGAUCAAAUGGAGAUCAAAACUAAACUCCUCUCUACAAAGCCAGAACAUGUCAUAAUUUAUACAGAAGGAUACAAAAUGGAUAUGAGGGUAGGUUACAUUGUGUCAAAGGAACAAAAACAAGUUCCCUCUCACAGUCAUUUAGCUAACACAUGUAAUCUGUUCUGGGAAAGGGUCUUAUGAAACAAAGGGGGUUUUGGUUAUCGGGAGAAAGACAGGAACUCUUUUGUUUUGGAGGUUUGGGGGCUCUUAUCGAGUGUAUACAAUUUGGGGUUUAUUUGGCUAGAAUAAGUUAUUAAACAAAUGUCUUGGAAGGAGGUCUGGUAUUUCGCAGGGUGGGUCUUAUCUGUAUUGGGGCAUAUACUGAGUGAUAUUACAUAUUAUUACCGAGGGGUGUAGACUUGUACUACCAUUACAUAACACUAUAUAAAGGAAUUGGUGUGCACCUAAACUUGGACUACAAUUUAAGAAGGAUACAUCAUUCUGGAUAAUCACCAUUCGUUCAUCAUUUCUUUCCUGGGCCUAAUUGAUAACUGCAUAGAUAAGCUUCACCUGUGGAAUGGAAAAACUGUUGUCCAAGGAGACUGGGUGGCUGUGUUUUAUUCAGGCAGCAGAUUUCCCCCCAUUGGACAAGUUUCGCACCUGGACAAUGUAAAUGGUAUUGCCUCUGUCCGAUUUCUGAAAGGGCGGAGGCUUUCCAAGACAGAUGUUCAGGACGUGGAGAAUCAGUUUAUCAUUUGCACCCUUCGUGUACAGUACGUGCAUGAAAAGGAUGAAUUUUUCACACACCCUCUUAUGAAGGACAAAGUAGAAAUUGCUAAACAAAUGAAUAGUGAAUUUCAUAUGUGACUCCCUUUCCUCAAACCCACAUAAAGUGGCCAGAUAUAUGUGCUAUGAGCCAAAAUGUGUGAAUUAUAGUAGGCUUGUUGCAUUUUGAGGUACGAUGAUUACUAAGGACACAUAUUCCUUGGAUCAAAAAAAAAAAAA